rnacentral:rRNA from 1 species
GUGGGGAAUCUUCCGCAAUGGGCGAAAGCCUGACGGAGCAACGCCGCGUGAGUGAAGAAGGGUUUCGGCUCGUAAAGCUCUGUUGACGGGGACGAACGUGCGAGAUGCGAAUAGUUUCUUGCAAUGACGGUACCCGUCGAGGAAGCCACGGCUAACUACGUGCCAGCAGCCGCGGUAAUACGUAGGUGGCGAGCGUUGUCCGGAAUUAUUGGGCGUAAAGGGAGCGCAGGCGGGAAGGCAAGUCAGUCUUAAAAGUGCGGGGCUCAACCCCGUGAUGGGAUUGAAACUGUCUUUCUUGAGUGCAGGAGAGGAAAGCGGAAUUCCUAGUGUAGCGGUGAAAUGCGUAGAUAUUAGGAGGAACACCAGUGGCGAAGGCGGCUUUCUGGACUGUAACUGACGCUGAGGCUCGAAAGCGUGGGGAGCGAACAGG